UAUAGCCCCAGUCGUGCAGAGGCAAAACGAAAGCGAUGAGAUCCAGCAGUGACGGAAGUUUAAUUCCAGUGGACUAUGAGCGUUUCAAUGUCUUAAAAGACGAGGAAAGCAUUCGAGUCAAUAAAACAACUGCCUCACGUGGAAAAUAAGCAGGAAAGCAUGCAUUUCCAUUUGUCCAUCUUGAAACGAGUUUGCAGUGACGGCCUCGGUCUGCAUGUGAAUAUGGCUCAAAAAUGACAAAUGUGGGGACGAUAAAAUGCAGAUCACCGAGAGUUACCGCAGUAUCAUUAGGAUUCAGCUCAAGCACGUUGAAGCCAUUAUUGAUCAACUUAAUUCAAACUGCACAAUAAAAAAUGUCAGCAUGUGGAAGGAGC